CAGUAGCGUAUAUUAAAGUUGUUGCAGUUAAAAAGCUCGUAGUUGGAUUUAUGGAGUGAUGCGCCUGGCCCGGUUCGGAUUCGUCCGUUGUUGAGUGCCGGUGUGCGUCCUUCAUCCUUCUGGGGAACUUUGACUCCCGUUCUGCGGUGUGGUCAUUGGGCUCUGGAUCUUUUACUUUGAAAAAAUUAGAGUGUUCAAGGCAGGCAAUCGCUGUGAAUACAUUAGCAUGGAAUAAUAAUAUAGGACUUCGGUCUAUUUUGUUGGUUUCUGGGACGAAGUAAUGAUUGAUAGGGAUAGUUGGGGGUGCUAGUAUUCAGCGUUCAGAGGUGAAAUUCUUGGAUCCGCUGAAGACUAACUUAUGCGAAAGCAUUCACCAAGGAUGUCUUCUUUAA
rnacentral:rRNA from 1 species